AAAGAAAAUGCCUUGCCCAUCUUUUGUCUAUGGGCACAAAAGUGACUCUUGCACUCGAGCUGCCCUGCCUGGUGGGCGUGUCCCUGGAUACAUCAUAAGUCACUCUCUGUGACAUAUGUCUGCACAUUUACUGAAUGGAUCAUCAUUUUCUGGGGAUUACCAUGUGCCAGGCACUACACUCUGCAUGGAUGAGCAUCCCUUAAUCCUCAAGGAACCCUAUGAAGCUGGUGUUUAUGAAAUAAUGAGCAAGAAAAAAUGCACUACAAGUUCAAAGAACGGCUCUAACAUUCAAGUUGUACCAGCAAAGGUGAUGAUCCAAAAACAUGAACUCUCAGAGUUCAUGGCAGGCCCCCUCCCCGCCAGAGCUCAGAACGCCUGUCUACCAGGGAACAUCUGAAGAGUGAUAUAAGACUAGUCAACAUAAGUACAUCCAUGGACAUCA